UACGGAGGGGGCUAGCGUUGUUCGGAAUUACUGGGCGUAAAGAGCUCGUAGGCGGCUUGUCGCGUCGGUUGUGAAAGCCCGGGGCUUAACCCCGGGUCUGCAGUCGAUACGGGCAGGCUAGAGUUCGGUAGGGGAGAUCGGAAUUCCUGGUGUAGCGGUGAAAUGCGCAGAUAUCAGGAGGAACACCGGUGGCGAAGGCGGAUCUCUGGGCCGAUACUGACGCUGAGGAGCGAAAGCGUGGGUAGCAAACAGG
rnacentral:rRNA from 1 species